AACAGCGGACGGACCCCACUACCAAACGAAUGGCUCGCAUUAAAGUUUAUUUCGAUGGAGAAAAGGCAGAGGCAGAGACUGAGACAGAGGCAGAAGCAGAAAGCAGCAGCACAGAAGGGAAAAGCACACUUGCACACAGGCACACACACGAACAGAGCGAAAAGAAAAAGAAAACGAACAGAGAUCCAGUAAAAUUACGACAAGCAGAAGGGCAGUGUGAUGAAGCGGGGAGGAAGAGGAGCCAGAGCCAGCAGAAACGACGGCAACGACAAAGCAAAAAGAAAACAAGAAACUCCGCAGCAGCAGCAGCAGUAGUAGUGGAAGAGAGGAGAAGUGAGAGAAGAGGAAGAAUGAGGACUGUUUGAGAAGGGGAGAGCUAGGGCAGAGGCAAGAAGCAGCCACACAGUGUCUGUAUGUACGACUGUUAUAUCUGUAUACAUGUCGUAUACCAGUAUGCCCUCGCGUGUGUGUGUGCGGUGGGGCGAAGGUGAAUACGAUGGCGUUCGUUGGCGUUGGUUGGCGCUGGUAUAACAGCAGGCAAGACGGCGACGGCAACGACUGCAACGACGACGAUGAUGGAGGAAAAAAUACGUAUCAAAUCAACGACAGACCAACGAACCAGCGGAGUCCCACCAAAAAUGCAUAACGAAAAGCAAAAACAACUACAAAAACGAGGACGAUGGCGACUGGCGACUCUUGCAACUGCAACCAAGCACCGGCAACAUCAGCAGAAACACUAGCAACAACGCAGGCACCAGACCAAGCCAAGAACAAGAAAAGGAAAUGGCAGAAGGCAAACCGAAUAACGGAUACCUUAUGAAAGCGAUCGAUCCACGAGGAACUAAUAUGAGGCUGCGAAAGUUUUGAGUAUUCCACAAGUCAGAGACGCCUGACAUCGUCGCACCGACUUCUCUGAAAACACACACAUGGAGAACUCAGAGCAACGUCCAACGAACAGGCAGCCAACCGACCCGACCCAACAUUAAAGUUAAAGUAAAGUUGGAAUUUGUGCCUCAACAGCCGCACUGUCCUCCGCUUCCCUACCCGGCCCAUGGGCAAUCUUCCUGCUUUUCGUAUCCUCCCUCCAAGCCGCUUGUAGUAAUCAGAAUAAACGAAAAUUCGCUUAAGCGUCGAACA